GACGAACGCUGGCGGCGUGCUUAACACAUGCAAGUCGAGCGGUAAGGCCCUUUCGGGGGUACACGAGCGGCGAACGGGUGAGUAACACGUGGGUGACCUGCCCUCAGCUCUGGGAUAAGCCUGGGAAACCGGGUCUAAUACCGGAUAUGACUCCAUGACGCAUGUUGUGGGGUGGAAAGCCUUGUGCGGCUGAGGAUGGGCCCGCGGCCUAUCAGCUUGUUGGUGGGGUGAUGGCCUACCAAGGCGACGACGGUAGCCGGCCUGAGAGGGCGACCGGCCACACUGGGACUGAGACACGGCCCAGACUCCUACGGGAGGCAGCAGUAGGGAAUCUUGCGCAAUGGGCGAAAGCCUGACGCAGCGACGCCGCGUGAGGGAUGACGGCCUGUGUAACUCUCUGCNCGACGAGACGAGAGUGACGGUAGGAGCGAGAAGAAGAC
rnacentral:rRNA from 1 species